rnacentral:rRNA from 1 species
GUCCUUUUGAGUUUAAUUUAAGGUCUAACCUGCCCACUGAAAUUUUUAAUGGCCGCAGUAAUUUGACUGUGCAAAGGUAGCAUAAUAAUUAGUUUUUUAAUUAAAAGCUUGUAUGAAGGGUUGGACGAAAUAAAAUCUGUCUCUAUUUAAUUAAAUUUAGAAUUUAACUUUUAAGUUAAAAGGCUUAAAUAUUAUUAAAAGACGAGAAGACCCUAUAGAUCUUUAUAUUUUUUUUUAUAAUUUUAAUUAGGAAUUAUUAAUUUUUUAUUAAAAAAAGUAUUUUAUUGGGGUAAUAUAAAGAUUUAAAAAAUUCUUUUUUUAUAUAAACAUAUAUUUAUGAUAUUAAUGAUCCAAUUUUAUUGAUUAUAAGAUUAAGUUACCUUAGGGAUAACAGCGUAAUUUUUUUUGAGAGUUCUUAUCGAUAAAAAAGUUUGCGACCUCGAUGUUGGAUUAAAGAUUAUUUUAGGUGUAGAAGCUUGAAAAUUUUGGUCUGUUCGACCAUUAAAUCUUUACAUGAUCUGAGUUCAGACCGGCGUAAGCCAGGUCGGUUUCUAUCUUUAAUAAAUUAAAAUAUUUUAGUACGAAAGGACCAAUUAUUUAAUAUAUUUAUAUUUAGUUUUUGAAUAUUAUUAA